rnacentral:rRNA from 1 species
GGAUUAGAUACCCUGGUAGUCCACGCUGUAAACGAUGGAUACCUGUUGUCUGGCUUAUGCUAGGUGGCGCAGUUAACACGAUGAGUAUCCCGCCUGGGGAGUACGAUCGCAAGAUUAAAACUCAAAGGAAUUGACGGGGGCCCGCACAAGCGGUGGAGCAUGUGGUUUAAUUCGACGCAACGCGAAGAACCUUACCCGGGUUUGACAUCCCUGGACAGCGCUAGAGAUAGCGUAUUUCUCUUCGGAGAACUAGGUGACAGGUGCUGCAUGGCUGUCGUCAGCUCGUGCCG